rnacentral:lncRNA from 1 species
GUUUUGGCGCCCAUACCGGACGGGGUAUGGGGACGGCCCUGGAAACUGAUUAUGAAUGUUAAAGGUUAACGGGUAGCGGAGCCCCUAUGGACCCCCACGGAUACUAGUAGGCUGGUAAAUGAGAAAAGGAUAUGUUGUACAAUGAUUGAAUUACAAGAGGCGUGAUAAGUGUUAUGUUUUACAGCUUAGAUUAUUCAAUGAUUAUGAUGAUGUUAUUGUUUUUCUCAUAUUGUUUUCAUAAAUUCCACCAAGGUAAGUGGAUGGUAAAAGUUU